ensembl:lncRNA
CAGUAAUGAGCUGAUUUGAGAUAAACAUAAAUUCAGAAAUAUAUCAAAUUACAUACGCUGUUCCCAAUCCCAGAUUACCUCUGUGUGAGAGGUUGAGUUACUCAGAAGUUAGAAGUUGUUCUGGAGACAGAAGUUAGAGGUUGUAUGGAGACAGAAGUUAGAGGUUGUAUGGAGACAGAAGUUAGAGGUUGGUCUGGAGACAGAAGUUAGAGGUUGGUAUGGAGACAGAAGUUAGAGGUUGUAUGGAGACAGAAGUUAGAGGUUGUUCUGUCUGGAGAGAAUGAAUGUGUGUAGGGAUUGUUUCCUUUUCCUGGCUUUGCUAUUGGUCCAUUUUUGGCUCACUUGGCUCGAGGCUGUAAUUUUGGAGUUG